UACGGGGGGGGCAAGCGUUGUUCGGAAUUACUGGGCGUAAAGGGCUCGUAGGUGGCCAACUAAGUCAGACGUGAAAUCCCUCGGCUUAACCGGGGAACUGCGUCUGAUACUGGAUGGCUUGAGUUCGGGAGAGGGAUGCGGAAUUCCAGGUGUAGCGGUGAAAUGCGUAGAUAUUGGAAAGACCACCGAUGGCGAAGGCACUCUACUGGGCCAUUACUGACACUGAGAGACGGAAGCUAGGGGAGCAAAUGGG
rnacentral:rRNA from 1 species